CUUCAAGUUUGGAAGACAUGAUACCCCGAUUAGAGCUGCACCUGAAGGAGAGUUUACCAUCAAAGAAGUCCAACCGUCUGAUGAAGGUUUCUACUGGUGUUCUACUGGUCAGAGUAAAUCACCAUCGAGCUGAAUGUCAUAGGUUCUCCUACCCCUACCAACCCCUCACUCUUCUGCCAUCUAGUGGUUAUAUUUCCAUAUUGCAUUGCCACAGGCUUUAUAAUUUCCAUUUACUGCUGCAAGAAGACAGGAAAGACACCAGCUGUAUCCAUGGAGAUGGCACAAAAUGCUGAAAGUUUUGAGAGUGCUGGUGUCACCACAGUGCAUAACUUCUAACAAAAAAGUUGCACAGAAAGGUACAACAGAUCUCAUUAUUUACAAUAUAUGAUCUGUAAUGGCAUAUAAUGUAAUAAAAAUCUUGCAAAAUAAAUUCAUGACUGGAUCACAUCAUCAAACAACACCAGUACUGUUGUGUCCUGAGUCACUUCACAGCGCUGUUUUCUAGAAAUCACAAAAUACA